rnacentral:rRNA from 1 species
UACAGAGGGUGCGAGCGUUAAUCGGAAUUACUGGGCGUAAAGCGUGCGUAGACGGCUAUCUAAGUCGGGCGUGAAAGCCCCGGGCUCAACCUGGGAAUUGCAUUCGAGACUGCAUUGCUGGAGUACGGAAGAGGAAGGCGGAAUUCCCGGUGUAGCGGUGAAAUGCGUAGAUAUCGGGAGGAACAUCAGUGGCGAAGGCGGCCUUCUGGUCCAGUACUGACACUCAAGUGCGAAAGCGUGGGGAGCAAACAGG